GUCCACGCUGUAAACGAUGAGCACUAGGUGUCGGGGGUAUCGACCCCUCGGUGCCGCAGCUAACGCGAUAAGUGCUCCGCCUGGGGACUACGGCCGCAAGGCUAAAACUCAAAGGAAUUGACGGGGGCCCGCACAAGCAGCGGAGCGUGUGGUUUAAUUCGACGCAACGCGAAGAACCUUAACCUGGCUUGACAUGCACGUGGUACGAGUGGGAAACCACGAGGACCCGCAAGGGAGCGUGCACAGAUGCUGCAUGGCUGUCGU
rnacentral:rRNA from 1 species